GAUGAACGCUGGCGGCGUGCUUAACACAUGCAAGUCGAACGAUUAAAGCCCCUUCGGGGGUGUAUAGAGUGGCGAACGGGUGAGUAACACGUGGGCAAUCUGCCCCUCACUUCGGGAUAACUCAGGGAAACCUGUGCUAAUACCGGAUACUCCGGACUGAUCGCAUGGUCGGUCCGGGAAAGCUCCGACGGUGAGGGAUGAGCCCGCGGCCCAUUAGCUAGUUGGUGAGGUAACGGCCCACCAAGGCGACGAUGGGUAGCCGAGCUGAGAGGCUGACCGGCCACACUGGGACUGAGACACGGCCCAGACUCCUACGAGAGGCAGCAGUGGGGAAUUUUGCGCAAUGGGCGAAAGCCUGACGCAGCAACGCCGCGUGCGGGAUGAAGGCCUUCGGGUUGUAAACCGCUUUCAGCAGGGAUGAAAAAAGACAGUACCUGCAGAAGAAGCCCCGGCUAACUACGUGCCAGCCGCCGCCGUAA
rnacentral:rRNA from 1 species